UUUCGCGGUGAUCUAAGUUCUAAACAAUGGCUGCAGUCACUGAGGGCACCUACUUGUUCAGCCAGAUGCCAACACACGCAGAUUCUGCGACACACACCCUCGGAGAAGCAAGAUUCGGUUCUCUGUGGGCAGCUCGGGUCUCCACCCCUAUGGUACCAGGUAUCCCGGCGCUAAGACGACGGAUUUCAAGUAAAUCACAGCACUGCAACUGCAAGGACAACCACACAGAGUCUGGGUUCCUGCCAACGCCACCGCUCCCUGUGCCAACCACUCUCUGAACUUUGCAGAGUUCAGAAUUGGAAGUUUCUUCGUAUUUUUUUUUCUCUUUUGUCAAAAUAUCCAUUGAUGUCAUUAAAACGCGUUAACCCAU